UACGGAGGGUGCGAGCGUUGUCCGGAAUCACUGGGCGUAAAGGGCGCGUAGGCGGCGCGGAAAGUCGUCGGUGAAAGCUCGGGGCUCAACCCUGAGUCUGCCGGUGAUACUCCCGCGCUCGAGCUCACUAGAGGCAGAUGGAAUUCCGGGUGUAGCGGUGGAAUGCGUAGAGAUCCGGAAGAACACCGGUGGCGAAGGCGGUCUGCUGGGGUGAGACUGACGCUGAUGCGCGACAGCGUGGGGAGCAAACAGG
rnacentral:rRNA from 1 species